UUAAAAAGCUCGUAGUUGAACCUUGGGCCUGGCUGGCCGGUCCGCCUCACCGCGUGUACUGGUCCGGCCGGGCCUUUCCCUCUGUGGAACCCCAUGCCCUUCACUGGGUGUGGCGGGGAAACAGGACUUUUACUUUGAAAAAAUUAGAGUGCUCCAGGCAGGCCUAUGCUCGAAUACAUUAGCAUGGAAUAAUAGAAUAGGACGUGCUGUUCUACUUUGUUGGUUUCUAGGAGCGCCGUAAUGAUUAAUAGGGACAGUCUGGGG
rnacentral:rRNA from 1 species